rnacentral:rRNA from 1 species
GACGAACGCUGGCGGCGUGCUUAACACAUGCAAGUCGAGCGGAAAGGCCCUUCGGGGUCCUCGAGCGGCGAACGGGUGAGUAACACGUGAGUAACCUGCCCCAGACUUUGGGAUAACCCUCGGAAACGGGGGCUAAUACCGGAUACGACACAGCUUCGCAUGGGGUCUGUGUGGAAAGUUUUUCGGUUUGGGAUGGGCUCGCGGCCUAUCAGCUUGUUGGUGGGGUGAUGGCCUACCAAGGCGACGACGGGUAGCCGGCCUGAGAGGGCGACCGGCCACACUGGGACUGAGACACGGCCCAGACUCCUACGGGAAGCAGCAGUGGGGAAUAUUGCACAAUGGGCGGAAGCCUGAUGCAGCGACGCCGCGUGAGGGAUGACGGCCUUCGGGUUGUAAACCUCUUUCAGCAGGGACGAAGCGUAAGUGACGGUACCUGCAGAAGAAGCGCCGGCCAACUACGUG